GACGAACGCUGGCGGCGUGCUUAACACAUGCAAGUCGAACGGAAAGGCCCUGCUUUUGUGGGGUGCUCGAGUGGCGAACGGGUGAGUAACACGUGAGUAACCUGCCCUUGACUUUGGGAUAACUUCAGGAAACUGGGGCUAAUACCGGAUAGGAGCUCCUGCUGCAUGGUGGGGGUUGGAAAGUUUCGGCGGUUGGGGAUGGACUCGCGGCUUAUCAGCUUGUUGGUGGGGUAGUGGCUUACCAAGGCUUUGCCGGGUAGCCGGCCUGAGAGGGUGACCGGCCACAUUGCGACUGAGAUACGGCACAGACACAUACGGGAGGCAGCAGUGGGGAAUAGUGCACAAGGGGCGGAAGCCUGAUGCAGCAACGCCGCGUGCGGGAUGACGGCCUUCGGGUUGUAAACCGCUUUCGCCUGUGACGAAGCGUGAGUGACGGUCAUGGGUAAAGAAGCACCGGCUAACUACGUG
rnacentral:rRNA from 1 species